rnacentral:rRNA from 1 species
GAACGACUCUCGGCAACGGAUAUCUCGGCUCUUGCAUCGAUGAAGAACGUAGCGAAAUGCGAUACUUGGUGUGAAUUGCAGAAUCCCGUGAACCACCGAGUCUUUGAACGCAAGUUGCGCCCGAAGCCAUUAGGCCGAGGGCACGCCUGCCUGGGUGUCACAC